UAUUGGGAUCCGACUAAGCCAUGCGAGUCGAGAGGGUUCGGCCCUCGGCGAACUGCUCAGUAACACGUGGAUAAUCUGCCCUUAGGUGGAGGAUAACCUCGGGAAACUGAGAAUAAUACUCCAUAGAUCUUUGAGGCUGGAAUGCGCUAAGAUUGAAAGCUUCGGCGCCUAAGGAUGAGUCUGCGGACUAUCAGGUUGUAGUCAGGGUAAAGACCCGACUAGCCUACGACGGAUACGGGUUGUGAGAGCAAUAACCCGGAGAUGAUAUCUGAGACACGAUAUCAGGCCCUACGGGGCGCAGCAGGCGCGAAAACUUCACAAUGCGCGAAAGCGCGAUGAGGGAAUCCCAAGUGCUUGCACGUAAGUGUAAGCUGUUUUUCUGUUUAAAAAGCAGAGAGAGUAAGAGCUGGGUAAGACGGGUGCCAGCCGCCGCGGUAAUACCUGCAGCUCAAGUGGUGGCCGCUAUUAUUGGGCCUAAAACGUCCGUAGCCGGCUAAGUAAAUGCCUGGGUAAAUCGUGCCGCUUAACGGUACGAAUUCCGGGUAGACUGCUUAGCUUGGGACCGGAAGAAGUUAGAGGUACUCCUGGGGUAGGGGUGAAAUCCUGUAAUCCUGGGGGGACCACCAGUGGCGAAGGCGUCUAGCUAGGACGGGUCUGACGGUGAGGGACGAAGCCCGGGGGCGCAACCGGAUUA
rnacentral:rRNA from 1 species